rnacentral:rRNA from 1 species
GACGUAGGAGGCGAGCGUUGUCCGGAUUCAUUGGGCGUAAAGAGCGCGCAGGCGGCUUGGUAAGUCGGAUGUGAAAUCCCGAGGCUCAACCUCGGGUCUGCAUCCGAUACUGCCCGGCUAGAGGUAGGUAGGGGAGAUCGGAAUUCCUGGUGUAGCGGUGAAAUGCGCAGAUAUCAGGAGGAACACCGGUGGCGAAGGCGGAUCUCUGGGCCUUACCUGACGCUGAGGAGCGAAAGCAUGGGGAGCAAACAGG